rnacentral:piRNA from 1 species
UAAGGGUGGUCAUAUAUCCCUUGUUUGGGCCU